GUUAGCAAAACAGACGUAAAGUAUGGGUGGCUCAAAAAUCCCAAUACAUCCAUAAAAAGAAAUACUAAAACUAUGGAUGAGUUGUUUCCUACAAGUCACCCAGAAUACAGCUAUGGAAUGGAUUCUGCAACCAGAGCCACAGGUGCCAGAUCCUCCUCCUCCUAUUAUAGAGGAUCUUUUGACCAAUCCAGAGUUUAUACACGCAGAUGUUCCACUUGCUUGGUUACACCGUGCAAUGAUUCUGUCAGAUGAGAUUAUCAGGAACACUGCAGAGGCAACGAAAAUGCAGUGAACAAAUCCAAUGUGGGCAGUCAUGAGGAAAAAUAGGAUAACUGCCUCCAACUUUGGAGCAGAGCUAAAUCUUAAGCAUAAACGACUCACUGCUUCUUUACAGAAGCGUCUGAUGUCAUCCUACAAUUUAGAAAGUGUAAAGUCCAUUGCAUGGGGGAUAACAC